ACGGGUUUAGCUUAACGGUAGAGCGUCUGGCUACAACCAGAAGGCUGAAGGGUUCGACUCCCUUCACCCGCACCA
rnacentral:tRNA from 1 species